rnacentral:rRNA from 1 species
GAUGAACGCUGGCGGCGUGCCUAAUACAUGCAAGUCGAGCGAACGGACGAGAAGCUUGCUUCUCUGAUGUUAGCGGCGGACGGGUGAGUAACACGUGGAUAACCUACCUAUAAGACUGGGAUAACUUCGGGAAACCGGAGCUAAUACCGGAUGAUAUUUUGAACCGCAUGGUUCAAAAGUGAAAGACGGUCUUGCUGUCACUUAUAGAUGGAUCCGCGCUGCAUUAGCUAGUUGGUAAGGUAACGGCUUACCAAGGCAACGAUGCAUAGCCGACCUGAGAGGGUGAUCGGCCACACUGGAACUGAGACACGGUCCAGACUCCUACGGGAGGCAGCAGUAGGGAAUCUUCCGCAAUGGGCAAAGGCCUGACGGAGCAACGCCGCGUGAGUGAUGAAGGUCUUCGGAUCGUAAAACUCUGUUAUUAGGGAAGAACAUAUGUGUAAGUAACUGUGCACAUCUUGACGGUACCUAAUCAGAAAGCCACGGCUAACUACGUG